AAGCAAUUGUUAAAUCUAAUUAUUGUUCUGCGUUUUAGAUCAUGAAGACCUGACUGCAAUUAGUCUGAUGGAAAAGAUAUUUGCAUUAGAAGAAGCUGAUAAUUCUGCGAACAGUCACCAAAACGUGGAACCAUUGCAACAAAGUCACACAUCACAGUCUACACAAGCCAGAUCUGAGUUACCAUCUGUUGGAACGACUACAGAUAACAACACUUCACGAAGCCAAAGACCUACAGAAGUAAACAGUGCAGCCUCUUCAAACGUCCCAAUGACACAAGCAGCGGCUAGGAACGACACGCCCCUUGUCUCAACGCAUUCAGGAGGACCAGAAAUGACCAGGGACGACACGCCCUCUGUGUCAACGCAUACAGGAGGACCAGAAAUGAACAGGGCUCUAAAAAAAUCUCAACUUUUAGAACAGAAAAAACUCAAAGAAGAAAAUGAAAAGUUGAAGCAACAGUCUAUAUGCACACAAUGUCGGCAGAAUGAUGUAUGCAUUGUUUUUCUACCGUGUGGCCAUUUAGUUACCUGCGAAACCUGUGCUCCUACUGUCAGAUACUGCACAGUUCAGGCAUGUGGAAAAUACAUAAAAGGAACAGUCAGGACGUAUUUGGCCUAAACUGAACUGUGCUUCAGGUCCUGUUUCCUGUGCAAGAAGAGAAAAUACAGGAUGAUCCACGUCUCGACUCCAUUCCUUGUGAAAGAACAGAUCUAUGAGGUUGCCACUGCACCAGAAGAUACUAAUCAGGUUGAAAUUCUUCUCAACUCCUAUAGAACCGUGCUUCAUGUCCUGUUUCCUGUGCAAGAAGAGAAAAUACAGGAUGAUCCACGUCUCGACUCCAUUCCUUGUUAAAAAAACAGAUCUAUGAGGUUGCCAGAUCUUCGUCUGCAUGAUGAGAAACAAAUAUCAUCUCUGAUGCCAUAAGUCAAGAGGCAUACACAUACAUACGAGCCGAUGAAGGACGAAAAGGACUCUAACGACUGAUGCCAGUCUAGACGGUAUAUUAUAUUGGAGUUGAGUCUCUUGAAGCUGUUCAGCAGGAAACCUGGUAGGCUGAAGACGAACACAAUAGGCUGAAGACGACAUGUUGCAAUAUUUAUGAGCAGGACACAAAAGCGUCACUAGAUGUGAUAUUUGAUCAUUUGCCAGUUACUCGUUGUGGACUGGAAUAUAAGCACUGAGAACAGGAUUGUUAUGGACUGGGAUGUAGGUUAAAAGCCCGCCGCUUAGCUCAAUAAGGAGAGCGCAGAUCUAUGAAUCGUUGGGUUUGAGCAUGAGGCAUAUGACGAUUUGAUAGAAUACAAUGUGGUAGAGCGCCCGCUUCGAGUAUGCGGGGUCGUGAGUUCGCUCCCUGGCCGCGUCAUACCAAAGACGUGAAAAAUGGUACUAGUAUCUUCCUCGCUUGGCGCUCAGCAUUAAGAGGAUAGUACUGGGACUGGUCAGCCCGGUGUCAGUAUAAUGUGACUGGGUGGGGUAUCAUGUCACGUGUCUACGGCGUGAUAUUCCAGUGAGGCAGCACUAUACAUUGGACAUAGUGCCCACUGCAGUAAGGAGACACCGUCGUUAUAUGACUGAAAAAUUGUUGAAUAAGACGCUAAACCGGAAAACACACACAGUUACAUAAAAAUCAUUACAAUGUAUGUAUCCCUAUUUUUGUGUCAAAAUGUAUUGUAAACUGCAUAUCUAAAACAAACUUAAACUACUCUACGAUGUAGUCCGACUAUGUUUUAGUAUGCGGAAAAUUACAAGAAUUAGAAAUGAUAUAAAUAAUUACAUUUACAUGUAUAUGAUGGUAAUGGUAUAAUGUAUAUAUUGGGCAAAAUCCUGCCUGUUUAAAUGUGCAAUAUUGUAAAUAUGUAAAGUAUGUAUAUCAUAACUAUUUCAGAUAUCUGUGAUAUUGUAUAUAUAUUUUAGUUUACGUAUUUUUGUUUUAUUAUUUGUCCUUAAUGAAGUACAUAGUUUUUUAUUCAUUAUACAUUUGUUCACUCAUGCUAAUGCAUUACAAUUAUCCUAUAUCAAGAAAUGUUUGUCAUGAUUUAUAGUGUCGCUAUAGGAAUAUAGAGUUAAGUGUUUUCAUUUUUUUAAUUCACUAACAACUAUAUUCUUUCAUUAAAAAAAGUGAUCAUAUAUAUUUCGAAUAUGUUGGAUAAAUAUAUAUGAUUUUCCUUUUUUAAAAAAUGUUGUUUAAAUGAAUUUAUUUUAAUAAACGUUGAAAUAUUAAA